UACCAGCACCCCGAGUGGUCGGGACGAUUAUUGGGCCUAAAGCAUCCGUAGCCGGUUUUACAAGUCCUCCGUUAAAUCCAGCUGCUUAACAGAUGGGCUGCGGAGGAUACUAUAAGACUAGGAGGCAGGAGAGGCAAGCGGUACUCAGUGGGUAGGGGUAAAAUCCGUUGAUCCAUUGAAGACCACCAGUGGCGAAGGCGGCUUGCCAGAAUGCGCUCGACGGUGAGGGAUGAAAGCUGGGGGUGCAAACCGG
rnacentral:rRNA from 1 species